AAGAGUGAUGGUGUGUUCUGACU
rnacentral:piRNA from 1 species